CGUCGGGUGGGGAACGUCAAAGGUACAGCGGAGUCAGUGAAAUGGGCUAUCUAGGUGGUUAAAAACGUGAACUGUCGGGGAAGCACUCGGUGCCGCGGGGCUGUCUGUUUCCACAAAGUGUGACGCGGAGACAGGAGAUCCUAGACGAAGGAGGAGACGCCCUGCGAGUAUGGCGCAAGGAUGGAAACAAGGAGUGAGAAGCUGAAGGGCAGGAGGGCACCAGCUAUGGCACUCGGCACUCCUGUGUCCCCCCCACCUCACCCCCGCCCCACACCCAACUGCCCACGGUCUACCAGGCUACCCGCUGCCCAGGCCAAUGCCGGAUGAGGGCGGUGGGCCUCGUGGCGGGCGGCAGUGAGGGA